GAAUGAAGCCACGGCUCUGGAAGAGGCACCUCCAGGAUUUUAUCAUGAACGCCGCUUUCAGCAUUUUCUUCACAGAAGAAAACCACCUCUUAGGGCCUGUGAAACCUGAUGGAGAGGAAAGAAAUCAACAAAGCUCUUCAACGGCCGGCCGUUGACUGAGUCUCCUGUGGAGAAAGAUGAGAAUCAGGUUCUGAACCAUACUGUCCCGCGCUGAAGCGGCUCACUGAGAUCCAGAGCUGAGGAGGCAGAUCCUGAGAGGACGCUCAAAGUCUCUCCGUCCUUUGUGCUCAAGCCUGGCAGCUAUUACUCCUCAUCUGGAUGCAAAACACUGGGUUUUUGAGCACAUUUCCUAAAUAGGCACCAACUAUUAAGAUGCUGUUCUGAUGAGACUCAACUGAGUGAGAAAGUGCAGUCGAUGCAUUUAACCGCGCGCGCGCGAGAGACCUCGUGCUCCUUGUUGUGGUUUGUAUGUGGGCGGGCGAGCGCGCGCUCCAUCUCCACUAGCCUUUGUAGUAGCGCACUAAUUAAUUUUUUUGUUGUUGUUUGAGAAAUUAAUAUAAUUUUCUAGAAAAUGAAAAGUAGAAAGUAUAGAUCAAAGCAACUGGGUCAAAUGCCGUCAUCGUCUUAAUAUACUCCUAAAUAUUUAACUCACUUUUUAAAGGCAGAAAUCAUAAAGUGAGCUAUAUUCGAUCACAUUUCAUAACUACGUAAACUUAGGGGUGUAACGUUCCUUUCCCUAAUCUUACAUUUUAUCCUCUUUGUCUAUUUAAUAUUUCAAAUUAUAAGCCAAUCUUCCUGGAAGUGACAUUUUUUUUUUUUUUUUUUU